AACUGGAUGAUUUUAAUUAAUAAAACGGGCCAAGCCCAGUACAAAGAAAAACACUAAAGCCCAAGACAAUUAAACGGGCACACCCAAUCCCCAAUUGGGCCCAGACCUUCGGCCCAACUUGGAAAACCCUAGUGACCUAAGGCAGAUUGCUUCGGCCGCUUUGCUUGGACACGUGUUAACAUCCUCGCCGACGAGGGUACACGUGUCCCGAAGCCAACGCGUCACCACCGCUUCCAUCGACACCGGAGAUCCAAACCAACGGAUCCCCCGGCCAACCGGAGCUUCAUCGCUCCGACUCUCUUACACCUCAAACCGUCUUUGGGAUCUAGUAUCGGGAAGGAUCAAUCGCCGCGGCGAGAUCACAUCCACCACCAUUAACCACAUAACACCCAAAGCAAAGUCGUCACAUGCAUCAUCGCCCUUUCCAACGGGGCACUUCACUGUCCUCCGACGAAAACACAAACCGCCGAAACAAAAAAACCAACCCAGAAAGAAAGAAAACACUAGAUCUUAAACUAAACCCUACAUACUAGGGGACGAAGCCGGCGACGCAAGGCUGAAGAAGCCUUCACCCCCCGGAGACUAAAACCGAUGACGUCGGAACUGAGAAAGCUUCCCCGCCACGGAGACAAAACCGGCGGCGACGGAUCUGUGAGAGCCUCCGCCUCCCGGAGAUAUUACACGACACACUGAGCUUUUUAACUGAAGGAACAAGAGCUCCGGCGGCGGCACGGACGCUCACGCGCCGGCCGACCACCGAGCCCGG
rnacentral:lncRNA from 1 species